rnacentral:rRNA from 1 species
UACAGAGGUCUCAAGCGUUGUUCGGAUUCAUUGGGCGUAAAGGGUGCGUAGGCGGCGCGGUAAGUCGGGUGUGAAAUCUCGGGGCUUAGCUCCGAAACUGCAUUCGAUACUGCUGUGCUUGAGGACUGGAGAGGAGACUGGAAUUUACGGUGUAGCGGUGAAAUGCGUAGAUAUCGUAAGGAAGACCAGUGGCGAAGGCGGGUCUCUGGACAGUUCCUGACGCUGAGGCACGAAGGUCAGGGGAGCAAACGGG